rfam:Triticum aestivum genome assembly, contig: Triticum_aestivum_CS42_TGACv1_scaffold_580647_7BL
CUGCUACUCCCUCCGUUCGGAAUUACUUGUCUCGGAAAUGGAUGUAUCUAGAACUAAAAUACAUCUAGAUACAUCGAUUUCUAUGACAAGUAAUUCCGAACGGAGGGAGUACUUU